GAUGAACGCUGGCGGCGUGCCUAAUACAUGCAAGUCGAGCGAACAGAUGAGGAGCUUGCUCCUCUGACGUUAGCGGCGGACGGGUGAGUAACACGUGGAUAACCUACCUAUAAGACUGGGAUAACUUCGGGAAACCGGAGCUAAUACCGGAUAAUAUAUUGAACCGCAUGGUUCAAUAGUGAAAGACGGUUUUGCUGUCACUUAUAGAUGGAUCCGCGCCGCAUCAGCUAGUUGGUAAGGUAACGGCUUACCAAGGCAACGAUGCGUAGCCGACCUGAGAGGGUGAUCGGCCACACUGGAACUGAGACACGGUCCAGACUCCUACGGGAGGCAGCAGUAGGGAAUCUUCCGCAAUGGGCGAAAGCCUGACGGAGCAACGCCGCGUGAGUGAUGAAGGUCUUCGGAUCGUAAAACUCUGUUAUUGGGGAAGAACAAAUGUGUAAGUAACUAUGCACGUCUUGACGGUACCUAAUCAGAAAGCCACGGCUAACUACGUG
rnacentral:rRNA from 1 species